UGCCAGCCGCCGCGGUAAUACGUAGGGAGCGAGCGUUAUCCGGAAUUAUUGGGCGUAAAGCGCGUGUAGGCGGUUCGUUAAGUCUGAUGUGAAAGCCCGGGGCUCAACCCCGGAAGUGCAUUGGAAACUGGCGAACUUGAGUACGGGAGAGGAAAGUGGAAUUCCGAGUGUAGGGGUGAAAUCCGUAGAUAUUCGGAGGAACACCAGUGGCGAAGGCGGCUUUCUGGACCGAUACUGACGCUGAGAUGCGAAAGCGUGGGGAGCAAACAGGAUUAGAUA
rnacentral:rRNA from 1 species